rnacentral:rRNA from 1 species
GACGAACGCUGGCGGCGUGCUUAACACAUGCAAGUCGAACGGAAAGGCCCCUUUUGGGGUACUCGAGUGGCGAACGGGUGAGUAACACGUUCGUAACCUGCCCUUGACUUCGGGAUAACUUCAGGAAACUGGGGCUAAUACCGGAUAGGAAUCCUUGCUGCAUGGUGGGGGUUGGAAAGCUUCGGCGGUUUUGGAUGGACUCGCGGCUUAUCAGCUUGUUGGUGGGGUAGUGGCUUACCAAGGCUUUGACGGGUAGCCGGCCUGAGAGGGCGACCGGCCACAUUGGGACUGAGAUACGGCCCAGACUCCUACGGGAGGCAGCAGUGGGGAAGAUUGCACAAUGGGCGGAAGCCUGAUGCAGCAACGCCGCGUGCGGGAUGACGGACUUCGGGUUGGAAACCGCUUUCAGCAGGGGCGAAGCUUGUGGUGACGGUACCUGCAGAAGAAGCACCGGCUAACUACGUG